UACGGAGGGUGCAAGCGUUAGUCGGAAUUACUGGGCGUAAAGGGUGCGUAGGCGGGGAUGUAAGUCAGAUGUGAAAUACCGUUGCUCAACAACGGCCGUGCAUCUGAAACUGCGUUUCUGGAGGGAUAGCGGAGAAAACGGAAUUCCACGUGUAGCGGUGAAAUGCGUAGAUAUGUGGAAGAACACCUGUGGCGAAAGCGGUUUUCUAGCUUACCCCUGACGCUGAGGCACGAAAGCAAGGGGAGCAAACAGG
rnacentral:rRNA from 1 species